rnacentral:rRNA from 1 species
UACGUAGGGUGCAAGCGUUAAUCGGAAUUACUGGGCGUAAAGCGUGCGCAGGCGGUUGUGUAAGACAGAUGUGAAAUCCCCGGGCUCAACCUGGCAACUGCAUUUGUGACUGCACAGCUGGAGUGCGGCAGAGGGGGAUGGAAUUCCGCGUGUAGCAGUGAAAUGCGUAGAUAUGCGGAGGAACACCGAUGGCGAAGGCAAUCCCCUGGGCCUGCACUGACGCUCAUGCACGAAAGCGUGGGGAGCAAACAGG